rnacentral:rRNA from 1 species
UACGUAGGGGGCUAGCGUUGUCCGGAAUCAUUGGGCGUAAAGCGCGUGUAGGCGGUCCGGUAAGUCCGCUGUGAAAGUCGGGGGCUCAACCCUCGAAUGCCGGUGGAUACUGUCGGGCUAGAGUGCGGAAGAGGCGAGUGGAAUUCCUGGUGUAGCGGUGAAAUGCGCAGAUAUCAGGAGGAACACCAAUUGCGAAGGCAGCUCGCUGGGACGUUACUGACGCUGAGGAGCGAAAGCGUGGGGGAGCGAACAGG